rnacentral:tRNA from 1 species
GCCCCGUUAGCUCAGUUGGUAGAGCAGAUCCCUUUUAAGGAUAAGGUCAUAGGUUCGAGUCCUAUACGGGGU